CUGCCUCUCGGCCCGGCCGCCCAGAGCUCGCCAUUGGGCCUCACUCCUGGGGUCCCGCGCGCCGACCAUGCUGAUUGGCCGCUGGGGCUUCAUUCACAGCCCCCCUACCUUCCGCGUAUACGCUCACGCCCCGGGGGCGCGGCCGCCACGUGGGGAGUGGCGCGGGGGUGGCACUGGGACCGCACCCCCUCUCGUCCUGGCUGCGUGGGCCCCACUUUCCCCCGGCGCUGGAGACUCCGAGCCCAGCGGGUCCCACGCUCCAAGCUAGCAGAAUUCUCGCCGGUCACCCGCCCCUGUGGCCAGAGGCGGUGGCGGGGAUGGCGGGCUCCGGGAGGCGCUCGGGUUCCGAGAAGCAGCUCAGCCCCGCGCUCCUCCUUCCGCCGUGCCGCUGCCGGCGGGCCGGGAUUCCCGCGGGUCUCGGCGGCUGCGAGCGGCAGGCGGCGCGGGUCCCCGGCUCGGUUGCGGCGCGGCUGCUCACCUCGCCCGCCUCGCCUCCCGCGACUUCCAGCGGGCACGGAGCUCUCCUCUGCGCUCCUCCCUGGCCCGUCUCGUUUUCCCUCUUCACCCUCUAGUACGCCCAGCGCAACUCCGUCGACCUCCGCCGCCCUGAGAGACCGUCGGGCGCGGGCAGAGUCGGACUGGCCCCGACUUCACGCCUCUCACGGGCUCUCCUCCCGGGCGCCGCGGCCCAGGUGAGUACCUCGCGGGUGGCUCGGGGCCGGAACGGCCGGCGGCAGCGAUGCUGUGGGGAGACGGGAGCUCCUGUAACCAGGCCGAUUCCAAGGUUCCUGAGUGAGAGGAUCUCGAGGUGGAGACCGUGGCUCCGGGAAAGCACCGCCGACAGGAAUGGUGGACACACUGGGCCCACGGGUAUCUGACCCACGCCGCCGCCUCGCUCCUUCUCCUUCCUGCCUGCCCGGCUCAUUGGCCUGGGUCAUGGCGGGGUCACGCCCCGGGGAAACUUGCUCUAGGUGAGGAGUGGCGUGGACAUGGGGAAGGGCGCUGGUGCCUCAGAAAUCCGGCGUGCAGGCUGGGAGCUGUCCAGCCUUGCAGGGAGCCCUGGGCUGGAGUUUAACCCACUUGCCUGGGGCUGCUGAAAAGGGAACUGGGACUGAAGAGGUCUUGUUGGAAAGGUGCGGCAUGCAGUGGCUUACCUACUCAUCCCCCAGGUCUUUGAGGACUCCCCGAAGGAUCCUGAGUGGACUUGGGCCCCAGCAUCAGCUCUUCUGUGCCAUGCUGGCUGGAGGAUGAGUGGAAUGAGCUGUAGCCUCCACGUCUUCCCCACGCUGAGGCUUGGCUCUCGGGGAGUCUUCCAGCUGCCAGUUCACCUCUUUUCUAUCCCUGAUCUUGCCUCCAAUGGAUUCAUAGAUUCCAGAGCCCCGGGGGUCCCAGAUUGGAGGACCGAGCUGGGGGCCCAGCUAGGGCCCUACUGGCAAGUCAGGACUGUGGAAUAAAGCCUCAGUAUGUGAAGAAGGGUGAUGGGGGGGCUCAGGGGGCAGCCGCAGCGGGGGUGACUGGGGCAGAGUCGACAGUGACAAGGGUCAUCCUUGGGCACAGACUGUGCUCAUCCAGGCCCUAAACGCCCUAGGACCAGCCUCUGGCUAACCCCCAAGGGAUGGGGUGGCCACUGGCCGCUGUCCUGAGCAGAGUCCUUAGGUACCACUCCCACUGCAAGAGCUGUGAUGGAGCCCUGUGUCUGAACCUAGCUAGGGAUCCUGGGCUUUCCUGGACUCUGGCCCAGGAAGUGGUCACCUUGAGGCAGCCCAGGACUUCCUGGUCCACUCGCCUUCCUGGUCUCUCUCCCAGGCUCAGGAGGUAGGACCACGGCUGGGAAUCCUGUAGUGAAGUCCCCUCUCACGCCAGCCCUAACCAGACCUGCGUGACAUUGAAGCUUGGGCUUCCAACCUGGACCUGCUACUGUCUUCCUGGGCAAGAAUAACUCUGGCCCAGUCUUCUAGGGCUUGGUUCUUCUACCUGUAAAUUGGGAAUAACAGUACCAUAAGUAGCACACCUGUCUCACUAAGAGUGUCAAGGGUCCUGGCUUCCAUCUUGACUCAGACUCAGGCCUGCUGGAUGAUACUGGACCAGUCUCAGCCUCCUGACCUCUGUGAGCCUCAGUGUUCUCAUCUGUAAGCUGGGCAGGAUGGUCUCUGCUGGGUUCUUGUGAAGGCGGGAUGAGAUCACUGCCCCGAUGGAAACUCGGAAAGGGGAAGCAUGGCUUGGUUUUCCUCCCUGGCUGCUAGGGGUGAGUAAGAGGCUGUGUGAGUAGGAACAGAACCUGCCUGUUCCCCCAACCAGUUCUUGCUGAGCGGUGUCAGGAGUGACCACGCCCAUAACCUGCUUGUUCCGGGCUGGAACGUGUUUUUGACUGGAAGAGUCUGUCAGGGUCCUGGCUGCUGCAGAUUCCAGCCUGGGUAGGCGCAUCCACUCCCUCUGUGCAGGUUGGUACCAGCUAGACAGAUUCAUAGCGCUCACCACCAUCCAGAGAGCUCUCCCACAAGGGAUGUGAUCACUAUUCUGAGCUCUCAGUCCCCCCCACCUCUCUCCCUCUAAGCUCAGCCAUUCUAGGUGUCCUACCUCUUUUGUCCUUCCAGUGCUCAAAAGAGCCUAGCAUAGAAGAGCAGAGAGGUAGGAGAGGCAUGGCUGCCUUUGGCAGAGGAGAAAGAAGCAGUCUCAUUUAAUUUAAGGUUCUCUAUCUCUCAGACUUGGGGAAGGGAAGGAAGGAUGAAAGGUGGAAUAUCUCUUAGGGAUGAACCUUCCCUUGUAUUUUUGCGCCUGCCUCGGCCCCCUAGGUCUAUGUGUGGUGUGGGGAUCCUCCCAGUGCAUCAGUAGAAUAUUCAGAUUAGGGGUGGUCAAUUGCUCUUGAAAUUUACUUUCAUUUUUAGCAGAAUGGCAGCCUCUGAGCUGGUGCUAAUGCCCACGAUCCGGUUAUGCAGAACACGCUCUCUGCAAAUCGGUAAAUCAUUAGCGGGGAUUAAUCACUCUGAAAGGCUGGGGCUGGGUUUGAGUUUCUCUCUCUCUCUUUUUUUUUAAACACACUUUUUAUCUGGAUGGCUGCAAAAUUCAACACCACAGGGUGGGGUGGGAGCAGCAGUGAUGAUUUAAGUUCUUGUCACCAUUGUUAGACGAGGGAGGUGCCUUCCUGGGCCUGGUGUUGACUCUGGCCCGACCGAGGGUGGGGGGUAGACAGCUCAGGUAGGGGGGAAGGGAGGGAGGGGGGUUCCCUUGUGUUUGUGUGCAUCAGUGUUUUCAAUAGUGUGUUGGGGGCUUGGUGUGCUUGUAGCUUGCUUGCGUGAAUUCCUGUUCGUACUUUACAGAUGCCCAGAAGGAUUUCAGCGCUUGUGUUUGGGUGCUUGUGCUUGGUUAAUAUGUGUGCAUUAGUGUUUGUAAUCGUAUCAGACAGUGCUUCCCUUUAAGAGUGGUUUUAAAGACCACACCUCACCUUCCUCAGCCUCCAGGAAGCUCUGGAGGGGGAGUAGGCAGAGCUGGAGGGAGGUCCCAACUUCACCUGUGGGCGGGGGCAUGGCUCAUGGAUUAUUUACAUAUUCAUGAGCUGCUGUCUCUUGGAACUCCCCUCUGGAAGAGACUAGCCUGAGGCCCCUUAUGGCAGAUGGGGAGAUGGGGAGGCCAGGCUCUCACGGUAACGCCUCUCACUCUGCCACCCCAGGUCUAGUGGCUGUCCCUCCUCCACCCAUGGACCGGGAAAACCCAGGGUUCUGAACCCCAACUUCUGCAAAGCUGCAGUACACACAACUCUAGUUUCUGAUGGGAGCUGUGUGGCGGUGAUGGGAAAGCUCUUUUUCCUUUCUGGUCCAUGACGUCCCUAUGGCGGCUCUUGGGGAAAGAAGGUCAUUCUUCCAGCUAGGACCAAGCUGAUGAAUGGGAUUCACUCCCACUUAAUGUCCACACCAGGCCGGCCUCCCAAUCCCGUCUUUCUCCCUAGUUUAGUGCAGCCCAGCUUUGGAGCAACAAUUAUUUUCAAAUGACCCAGUAAUGACAUUCCUGGGGUAUUGGUCAAGGUACAUGAGUAUGCAGAUGAGGUCACAGGACUUCUCCCCUCCAGUUCCAGAGGGUGGGGUUUGAGGUAAGACUAAGUGGGCCUGGUCUUUGCAUCAGCUUUGAUCCCCCUAGUCCCCUUUCUCCAUACAGAGUCAGCUUGGGUAGCCUGGGCACCACUACCUACCACGCCACAGAUGGCGCAGAUGCCCUGUACUUCUGUUCAUGUACCUCAUUCAUCCCCCAACUGUAUGUGCCUCCCCCUCCCCUCUGUGCAGCAGGCUAGCCUGGAGUCGAGGGAAAGACAGAAUGAUAUAGCUCUUUGGCUGUUACAAGUUGGGAGGGUCAGGAGAGAGUUGACUGGGCUCAAUGCUGGCAUUCCUCGGCUUUCUUGAGAGUAGCAGGUGGAGGGCGGAAGUGGCAAAGGAGGAUUUAGGAAUUAUAUUUUCCCAGGGACCUCUUAGCAUCUUUAUAUAUCUCUGGUGUCAGACAUCUGUCUGAGCUUAGGGUAGCAUCUGUCUGGGCUGGAGACAACAUCUGUUUGAGGCUGGGACACCUGGCUGAGCCCAGAAUAUUAUCUGGCCCCAGGACAGCUUUUGUCUGGGCCCAGGACAUGUGUCUGAACCUGGCAUGGCAUCUGUCUGGGCCUGGUGCAACAUCUUCCUGGCCUGGGGGCAAUGUCUGUUUGAGCUCUGGACAUCUGUCCGACCUGGGGUUGUCUGCUGAGCCCAGAACAAUACCUGUCUGAGCCUGGGGGUGGACUUGUCAUGGCAGAUAAAAUCACCCUCGAGUCUCAGCUUUGGUUUGUGGCUGAGAACAGAGUACAUGCCAGACCCACGUCCCUGCUCUCAUUUCUACCAGGGAAGGGCUCUUCUGUAGAGUGCCUCAGUUUACCUCCUUCUGUAGGCCCAUUGGCCUGCUUGCUCUGGACACCUCAAGGGACAGCCAAAGCCUACAUCCCAGGGACUCCAGGAAAGCGAAGUUAAAAGAAUAAGGGAGUGGAUAGGUUAUAAAAUCUAAGACUGGUCUAGGACCGUUCUUCCUUCCUCCCGUCCCUUCGUUGAAUCAAAUCAGAGUGCUCCCCCAAGAUACAACUCGGACAUGUCACUUGCCUCCUGAGAAGCCUUCCCUUGCUCCCAAUUGUAUAUAUUAUCAGGCCCAAAAUCCCCUCUGGUCCUGCCCCUGCCUCUGCUCUGAACCAGCAGCACGGAGCUUCUUUCCCACAAACACACUGGGACCUAAUGAUUCCCUACCUUUGUGCACUCAGCUCCCUCUCCUUGGAAUGUCUUUCUCUCCCACACCCCUCCACCCCCAUCCUCCCAUCACAUCCUUCAAGUCCUAGUUCAAGGGUUACCCACUCUGGGAAUUUUUUUUACUCCUUCUCUAGACUUAGCCACGACCUCUGCCCUGCUUCCACAAUGUAUUGUGAAGACCACCUCCGUGUUAGCAUUUGUGGGCCUGCACUGUCAUUGCCCUUUGUAUAUCUGUCUCUCCCAUGGGACUGUGCGCUCCUGGGGGUAGCUGGCUCUGGUUCAUCUUUGUCUCCCCAGCACCCAGCCCAAUUCCUGGUCUACGGUGGUACCAGUAAGAAAGGCCUGUUGGAUGAUCACAUGGCUGUACCUCUGUCAUCUCAUUUCCAUCUCAUUUCAUUCUCUGUCUGCAACCAGGAUGAAGACAUAUAGGAUCCAAAGAUUUGGUACAUAUGCUCCUGACAGGAGCAGGAAAGAGAAGUGAUGCUCGGAGAGCAGUGACGAAUCCAGACCUAAUGGCCUCUCUGUGGGCUCCGGGGAUGGGACCACAUCUAAGAAAGAAGACCUUUACCUGGGUCCAGGCCCAUUCCCUGAGGGCAGGUGGGAGAAUGGAGACCUGGCCUAGCUUGUUGGAGAAGUUUCAGAGUUCCUGGACUUACUGGUCCUGCCAGAGAGGAAAAGUCACAUAAGGUGUUGUUAAUAUAAACACCGUGCCCAGAGCAAAC